rnacentral:tRNA from 1 species
ACCCAGAUAGUUUAAAUAAAACAUCGGUCUUGUAAGCCGAAGCCGAGGACUCACCCUCCUCUCUGAGUA